AUGCAAGUCGAGCGGAUGACGGGAGCUUGCUCCUUGAUUCAGCGGCGGACGGGUGAGUAAUACCUAGGAAUCUGCCUGAUAGUGGGGGACAACGUUUCGAAAGGAACGCUAAUACCGCAUACGUCCUACGGGAGAAAGCAGGGGACCUUCGGGCCUUGCGCUAUCAGAUGAGCCUAGGUCGGAUUAGCUAGUUGGUGAGGUAAUGGCUCACCAAGGCGACGAUCCGUAACUGGUCUGAGAGGAUGAUCAGUCACACUGGAACUGAGACACGGUCCAGACUCCUACGGGAGGCAGCAGUGGGGAAUAUUGGACAAUGGGCGAAAGCCUGAUCCAGCCAUGCCGCGUGUGUGAAGAAGGUCUUCGGAUUGUAAAGCACUUUAAGUUGGGAGGAAGGGCAGUAAGCUAAUACCUUGCUGUUUUGACGUUACCGACAGAAUAAGCACCGGCUAACUCUGUGCCAGCAGCCGCGGUAAUACAGAGGGUGCAAGCGUUAAUCGGAAUUACUGGGCGUAAAGCGCGCGUAGGUGGUUCGUUAAGUUGGAUGUGAAAUCCCCGGGCUCAACCUGGGAACUGCAUCCAAAACUGGCGAGCUAGAGUAGGGCAGAGGGUGGUGGAAUUUCCUGUGUAGCGGUGAAAUGCGUAGAUAUAGGAGGGAACACCAGUGGCCGAAGGCGACCACCUGGGCUCAUACUGACACUGAGGUGCGGAAAGCGUG
rnacentral:rRNA from 2 species